rnacentral:ncRNA from 1 species
CGUGUGGUGUCUGUUGAAACACAUAGAUAGCGACACGGCCGACAGAGGU